GCUCACUUCACAGCGCAGAGCACGGAAUUGGAAGACGAAAGACAGACAUCCUUGCAGCUGAUAAAUGCAGACAUGGCUCUCUCUGGGUUGCUGAAGGUGGUCAUGGCUUCAACAUGGCUGGGAUCCAGUAUUGCCCAGAAGGUAACUCAAGCCCAGUCAGCGGUGUCAGUGCAGGAAACGGAGGCUGUGAUCCUGCCCUGCACCCAUGACAGCGGUGCUACAAACUACGAUCUCUUCUGGUACAAGCAGUCCCGCAGGGAGGAGAUGGUCUUCCUCAUUCACCAAAGCUCUUUGGAGCUACAAAAUGCAGCAGGAGGUCGCUACUCCGUGCAUUUCCAGAGAGCGAGCAAAUCCAUCCAGCUUGUCAUCUCCGCCUCACGACUGGAGGACUCAGCGGUGUACUUCUGUGCCCUGAAGUCUCCCACUGUGAAAGGACUGCUGGAGGGAGGAGCACAAAAACCCGCAGUUCUGCCUGAGGCAACCACCUGCUGUAGGGAGCAAGGCCGAAAGUCACCACCUCCCACAAGGCGUAGCUAGGCCUGAGGCAGCGCGGUGUAGUGCUGGAGGGAGAUACUCUGGAGCAAGCGCCUCUCCGGCCCCUCUCACAACUGUAUCUACAGUCAGCAGUAGCUACAGCCGUCCACAUCCAUGCAGCUGUCGCUUGAAGUUAGAGACAGACUUUUGGUGGCAAGUUGCAAAGGAGGAAUAAGCACAGUAAAAAUUGCCCUUUGGGCCAUGAGAUCCAGCUGAAGAAAAAAAAACUGGCUGAAGGAUUUUAGAAGCAAAUGACUGACAAACCCGUAAAAAUCUGUAUAAAUUCUUGGAUUUUUGUGUCAAUUCGUCCAAUAAGUAUUUAUUGCACAAAUAUUAUGUUAUAGACAUUUUACGAUAAGGGAGGCCUCACCAUGUUUCUUUUUAAAACAUCCUGCUGUUUUUGUGCUAUUUGGUAGAUUAGUUUGAUGGAGCUUUGCUUGCUAUGAAUAAAUUGUAGUCAUAGCUGCUUUCUGAAGGUGCCUGCUGUGUGGAAAACU